UCUCUGGUAGCUCAGUGGUUUAGAGUUGUGUGCUUAUGAGGUUUUUAACCGGCGGUCAUUACCGUACUCACACCGGUCGAGAGUUCAAUCCUCUUCCAGAGAA